UAAAUACAACUAAUCCAAACAUAAUAAAUAAAAAACUCAACUGUUUCAAACAAUUACCAUACCACUAAUACACUUAAAGCCACCAAUUGUAAUCAUAUUAAAACUUAUUCAAGUUUUAGUUAUGAAACUGCACUAAAAAAACAACUAACUUAUGAUUUUACACAUAAAGAUAUAUCAUAUAAUGUAUUAAGAAAUUAUUUUAGUGAUUCAGAAUUACAUUUAUAUUCUAGUUCAUAUAAUGACAAAACAAAAUUAAACAAACAAUUAAAUAAAAAUAAAACGUCAAAUAGUAAAAAUAACUUAUCAAAUAUGAACUUGUUUGGGGAUUCAACCAUGAGUAGAAAAUAUACCGAACAAAAAACAUAAAUGGAAACAAAACGAUGAAACAGAUAACAAAAGUACGGGACAAUUACUGAAUAAAAUUAUUGAACAUUUAAAUAUAAAUCUGAAAAAGACAUUAAAAAGAUAUAUACAAGAAAUUAACAAGCUGACUAAAAAUAACUGCAACUUAAAUAAUAAACUGGAAACCACUGUUGAACUUAAUGAUGAACAAGCUUUAGAAAUCAGAGAAUUGAAUAUAGAAAUGAACAAAAUUAAAGAAAAAAAUAUAGAAAUGAAUAAAGUAAUCGAAAAUUAUGAGCUAAAUAUGGACAUUCUAAAGAAAGCAAGAAAUGAUCAAAUAAGUGAUAAAAAAACAAAGAGAUGCAAUGGAACAAGAAAUUAAAAAAUUAAAAAACAAGUUAUCCCUGGCAAACACUCUCAAUGACAAAAUACAAAAUGAAAAGAUAAUUUUAGAAGAAACGAUUGAACAUAAAAAGAAUAAAAUUAAAAAAAAAAAAUACA
rnacentral:lncRNA from 1 species